AAGCACUCACAGCUCUCCCUCUCGCCUCGGAGCUCCCCAUCCCCUCCAAUGGCCGAAGGCCGCCGCCCAAAUCCCCCUCGACCAGUCCAUGCUUGAAGCCCUCCCCCUCCCUUUCUUCCUCGCGUGCGGCAUCCCCAUGAGCUCACGAAGCCUCUGCCGUUGUCCGCUCUGUCGGGAAGCUCUGCUGGCGCCACCUCUCCCAUGUCGAGCUCCGGCCGGGUCUCCCAAGCCGUGGCGCCGGUGCUGCAGGUCGCCCCAAGCCACCCUGCUGCUACCUACGGGCGCCGCAUGGAGUGGCGGAGCUCCCGCGCGCAUCGCCCGGCCCUCCUGUGCCGCCAGUCGCCGGCUCCAACGAGAGCCGCGGCGCUCCUCUGCCUCGGCGUCGCGAUGGAGAAGAAGGACCAGGCGGGGGAGAGAGAAGAGAUGCCGUGGGCCCCAUGCGUCAGCCUCCCAGGCGCUCACCCGGGCGGGCCCGUUGACCUGUUAAGUGAAAGCAUAUUUCCGAAAUACGCCUUCAGCCCGGCCCCGCCUCUGCCACGUGGAUAAGCGAAGGCGUAUUCAGUGUAAUACGUCUCCCCCACACGGAAGCGUAUACCACCAAAAGGCGCGUUCAGUUUUUCCUCCAGGGGCCUGUUUGCUGAAAAAAAUUCACCGAUAGGUCCCUGAACUUCAACCCUUCGUAUCUUUUCAACCGUAGCUCCAAAUCAGCCCCCUUCGAGAGAGAACUGUUUUCGGCAAAUCUUUCCGUGAUCGUUCCGCACUUUUUUUCCGGAGUAAUCCUCGACCCCCAGGCAAGCCAACGUCUUAUCAUGAGCCCCGAACUUGCAUGUUGACUUUGCUUGUACCUCGCGUGUGUGCUUAGUUGCAGUAGUUUCUUGUCUGUUUCGUCUGCUAUUAUUUCAGUCGUGCUAAAUAGUUUUGUUAUCUGUCUUGCAUGCUUGAGUUUUCAUUAAAUAAGUUGCCAUGCUAGUUUAACGUUGUUACUGAUAAUAUCAGGUCUCCGUUUAGUUUCAUAUUAGUAGUAUCGAUGUUAUGAUAGUUCUGUUGCACUGCUAAGUUUACUAGUACUUAGUAUUGCCAUGUUUCGCAUGAUAUCUCAGUUAUUUGAAAUGCUUGGUGUUUUGUUA